GAAGAUGCAACAAUUAAGGCAUGUAAGCAUAGAGCAUGGAUUUAGCUGUGAAGGAUAUAAUGCAGGUGGGCUGACUGGGAACAAACACAAUUUUCCAAGAAACCUACAAACUCUAAGAACUAUUUGUGCAGACAACUGGAUAAAAGAUUACUUGGGAGAGCUGGUUAAUCUUAGGAAACUGGUAAUAGCGAAAGUAGAUUUAAGUAGGCAUGGAAAGGGAUUGUUUGACUCUAUUCCUAAAUUGGACCACCUCCAGUCUUUGAGUUUAUAUGGUGAUAAUAUUCUAAAUAUUGCAAACCUAUUUCCUGCAAUUUCAAAUCGGCCGCGUCUGAAUAAGCUGCAUUUGUAUGGAAGGUUAGAGAGGCUACCGGAAACUAAAGAAUUCUCACCAAAUCUCACUAGGCUUACCUUGGAGGCUUCUUUGUUAGUGCAAGACCCGAUGAUGACACUAGAGAAACUACCAAACCUUCAGGUUCUCAACAUGCAACUUUGUACAUACGCGGGAAAGAAAAUGGUCUGCUCUGCGCAAGGGUUUCCUCGACUUCAGUCCUUGAUGGUUGAUCAGUUUCAUAAUUUAGAGCGGUGGAUGGUUGAGGAAGGAGCGAUGCCGAGUCUUUUACAUUUACAUAUUUCCCGAUGCUUCCGAAUGAAGAUACUUCCAGAAGGAUUGGAGCAUGUGACUGCACUCAGGAAUUUGGAGCCAAGUCUUAUGCCUCGGAGUUUAAUCAAUGGGCUUGGUGUAGGGGGAGUGGAUUGGCAUAUGAUUCAACACAUACCCGCCAUCGACAUUAAGCAGCCUCAAUGAAAAAUCCCCACACAGAGGACAGAGGUCCCAGCUAAUGCAAGCUCGAGCAACAUAUGUUGAAGCUAUUGUUUCCUGAGGAACACCUUCCACUGAAAUAUGCUGAAGCUGUUUCUGAAGAUAAAUAUUGAGAUGGAGAAAUGUUAUUUGUUGUGGAGACUGGCAAUCAAAGACAGGCUUUCAUUCUUUGUUGAAGACAGAUUCAGAAUAUCUCCAAAGUAAAGCAGAUGCGUUGAGAUUGGAAAGUCUCAAGCUUGUGCAACCCAACUCCCCAACAACCCAACACACGCCUGGAUGGAAGAGAUGUGCAAGAUCCAAGCUGUCCAUCAGGUGGGUCCCUACUUGUUGAUGCCACAGCUCAAAAAUCAGGCGAGUCCACUCCUUGGAGGGUCACCAAAAGCAAGGGACCCACUCCCUACGAAUUCUGUGCAGCAAGACCCAUUUAGGAGUUUCUGUUCUAAGCACAUCAUGUCUUCACAAGCUCGGAAGAUGCUUCUAUCAAACAGAAUCUUAGCAAUAGGGAGCCUGCUGAGACUACUUGGUGGAGAUCACCUGCAACGCAGGGUUGUGGCGUUUGAGGGAGCUAUUCUUCUCAUUACAUCUCCUAUGAUGCUGGUAGUGGGAGGAAUGCUAAUACUGGAAAGGAUAAUGAGGUCAAUCAAAGCACAGGCAGAGACCUUACAUCCACUUCUUCAUCGUCUUGCAGGACACAGAAAAUAAUGCAACCAUUACAACAUGAGAAACAGUUUUCAACGGUGAACGUCUUUAGGACCACCAUUUCCCGUGGUGCUGUCCACUUGAGCUUUGGAUCUGCCUCAUUUUUAGACUCCUGCACUAAAAUGAGCUGGCUAAAGGUUUGGAUGGCAUAGAUAAGCCACAUACAUCACAAUGGGCCCCACAGUUUUUUCCUUUCUGCCCAAGUUUGGAGUUCAAAAGGCGUGCCAUCAAUGUUGUAUGAGGAUGCUUCUGCAAUUAUGGAUUAAGGAAAAGCACAAGAUGUGAUCUUUUACUCAUAUCAAAGAUAUUAUCAACAGUUUUGCUGCCAAUCACGAAGAGGAAGAAGUAAUGGGAAUCUGAAAUCAUCUGGAUGUUAUAUCGGUUUUCUUAAAUAUCAGUCGUGGUAGAGUUCCAGCUGAAUUGAUUCGGCAAAGAACGAGAUUUGGGGAAUACACGUCACUCAGCAA